GAUGAAGAACGCAGCGAAAUGCGAUAAGUAAUGUGAAUUGCAGAAUUCAGUGAAUCAUCGAAUCUUUGAACGCACAUUGCGCCCCCUGGUAUUCCGGGGGGCAUGCCUGUCCGAGCGUCAUUACAACCCUCAAGCUCAGCUUGGUAUUGGGCCCCGCCGACCCGGCGGGCCCUAAAGUCAGUGGCGGUGCCGUCCGGCUCCGAGCGUAGUAAUUCUUCUCGCUCUGGAGGUCCGGUCGUGUGCUCGCCAGCAACCCCCAAUUUUUUUCAGGUUGACCUCGGAUCAGGUAGGGAUACCCGCUGAACUUAAGCAUAUCAAUAAGCGAGGA
rnacentral:misc_RNA from 1 species